AUGUUUACUUGGCAUGGGAUGUACCCUAAUCAGCAAGAAGGUCCUCCCAGGGUGAGGCCUGUCCAUUGUAAUUUGGAUGAGUUGACCCCUGCGAUCUAUUCUAUAUAUUCCUGCUUAAAACGUAGGCUGAUCUACCUCAAAUUCACUGUAAAAAGUCUAAUGCCAC